GAUGAAGAACGUAGCGAAAUGCGAUAAGUAAUGUGAAUUGCAGAAUUCAGUGAAUCAUCGAAUCUUUGAACGCAUCUUGCGCUCCUUGGUAUUCCUUGGAGCAUGCCUGUUUGAGUAUCAUGAGCAAAUCUGAAAGUCAAUUCCUUUUGUUGAUUCAAUUGGUUUUGCUUUGGACUUGGAGGCCUUGCAGAUUUCACAGUCUGCUCCUCUUAAAUGCAUUAGCUGGAUCUCAGUAAUUAUGCUUGGUUCCACUCGUCGUGAUAAGUAUCACUCGCUGAGGACACUGUUAAAAAGGUGGCCAGGAAAAUACUGGUUGAACCGCUUCUAACGGUCUAUUAAGUUAGACAAUUACCCUUAAGUUUGAUUUCAAAUCAGGUAGGACUACCCGCUGAACUUAAGCAUAUCAAUAAGCGGAGGA
rnacentral:misc_RNA from 1 species